CUGAUCCAACCUCGUCACAUUACAGAUGAGAAAAUUGAGACCCAAAGAGGUUAAAAGGCUUACCUGAAGUGGAGUUUGGAACUUUGAAGUGAAACUGCUUCCUGCCACACGUCAGCCAGUGGAGCAAGUCUGCACCUGUUCAUCUGGUCGUUGGUUGCAGAAGGAUUGAAAGAGAAGAACUGUCUGCCUUUGAGCUAAGGCAUCUUAAAUACUUAUUACUCUGAUUCACUUUCCAGCAUUCAUCCUCACUGCAGUUUCCUUUCAUCUUGACACUAAAAACAAUGUACUGAUAUGAAUCUACUCUACAAGCAAGCUUUGGAUACAAGGCCUAACAGAAAUGACAAGAUGCAGUCACUGUGCUCAUGGCACUUAAAACAGUGGGUCCUGUGGAUAGAACAAAAUCUUAAGAAUGGCCUGCUGAGUGCUGAGCAUUCUUUCACUUGUAAGAAAUUAAACUCAGAAACACUAAACACAGUUCCUUGAUGUGAUUUCCUGUGAAGAGGUUUAUUGCUCAUAGGAAUUUAGUGGAGGUGCC